rnacentral:rRNA from 1 species
AUCGAUGAAGAACGCAGCGAAAUGCGAUAAGUAAUGUGAAUUGCAGAAUUCAGUGAAUCAUCGAAUCUUUGAACGCACCUUGCGCCCUCUGGUAUUCCGGAGGGCAUGCCUGUUUGAGUGUCAUUAAAUUCUCAACUUCAAUAGCUUUUACUAGCUUAUUGAUGCUUGGAUGUGGGAGCUUGCUGGCGUCUUAGAUGUUCGGCUCUCCUUAAAGUUAUUAGUGGAAACCUUUUUGUUGGGUUAUUCCUGGUGUGAUAAUUAUCUACGCUUUGAAUAAUCUAAUGUUCCAUUGGGACUUGAGAUUUCUCAGUAGAAAUACUGGUCUGGGUAUUGCAAUUAAUUUUGCUGUAUCUGUAAUCUCUCAGUAGCAAUACUGGUUUUGGCAUUGCAAUUAAGUUUGCUUUACCUGUAGUCUCAGAGGAAAAAGGGAAGUUCUGCUUUCUAACCGUCUAUGUAUAUGGACAAUUUAUUGACUAUUUGACCUCAAAUCAGGUAGGACUACCCGCUGAACUUAAGCAUAUCAAUAAGCGGAGGAAAAGAAACUAACAAGGAUUCCCCUAGUAACUGCGAGUGAAGAGGGAAAAGCUCAAAUUUAAAAUCUGGCAGUCUUUGAUUGUCCGAGUUGUAAUUUAGAGAAGUGUUACCCGUGUUGGACCGUGUACAAGUUUCCUGGAAUGGAACGUCAUAGAGGGUGAGAAUCCCGUCUUUGACACGGAUCCCAAUGCAUUGUGGUAUACUUUCGAAGAGUCGAGUUGUUUGGGAAUGCAGCUCUAAAUGGGUGGUAAAUUCCAUCUAAAGCUAAAUAUUGGGGAGAGACCGAUAGCGAACAAGUACCGUGAGGGAAAGAUGAAAAGAACUUUGGAAAGAGAGUUAAACAGUACGUGAAAUUGCUAAAAGGGAAACGCUUGAAGUCAGUCGCGUUGUCCAGGGAUCAGCCUUCCUUCUGGUUGGUGUACUUCCUGGUUGACGGGUCAGCAUCAGUUUUGACCGGUGGAUAAGAGUGAGAGGAAUGUGGCAUCUUCGGGUGUGUUAUAGCCUUUUAUUGUAUACAUCGGUUGGGACUGAGGAACUCAGCACGCCGCAAGGCCGGGUUUUUAACCACGUUCGUGCUUAGGAUGCUGGCAUAAUGGCUUUAAUCGACCCGUCUUGAAACACGG